GGGCGGUUGGCUCAGGGGCAAGAGCGCCUCCCUCACACGGAGGAGGCCGCAGGUUCAAAUCCUGCACCGCCCA
rnacentral:tRNA from 3 species